UACGUAGGUGGCAAGCGUUAUCCGGAAUUAUUGGGCGUAAAGAGCGCGCAGGUGGUUGAUUAAGUCUGAUGUGAAAGCCCACGGCUUAACCGUGGAGGGUCAUUGGAAACUGGUCGACUUGAGUGCAGAAGAGGGAAGUGGAAUUCCAUGUGUAGCGGUGAAAUGCGUAGAGAUAUGGAGGAACACCAGUGGCGAAGGCGGCCUCCUGGUCUGUAACUGACACUGAGGCGCGAAAGCGUGGGGUGCAAACAGGAUUAGAUA
rnacentral:rRNA from 1 species